CCGUAUCUACUGGACAGAUAUCACACUGAAGGUAAGGAGGGAGGUGUCUCUCUCUAACCGUAUCUACUGGACAGAUAUCACACUGAAGGUAAGGAGGGAGGUGUCUCUCUCUAACCGUAUCUACUGGACAGAUAUCACACUGAAGGUAAGGAGGGAGGUGUCUCUCUCUAACCGUAUCUACUGGACAGAUAUCACACUGAAGGUAAGGAGGGAGGUGUCUCUCUCUAACCGUAUCUACUGGACAGAUAUCACACUGAAGGUAAGGAGGGAGGUGUCUCUCUCUGGCUCCCCUCCAUC